ACGUGGAGAAAGCUUCGCACGUCGCUCGCCACCGGUCAAGUCUGCGAGACUGCCGACCGAGUCCCCGCCACCACUGGCAGAGGCCGAACAGAGUGGAGUCCCACGCUUCUCAAGUGGUGGAGGAAGCACCGGACGGUGAAAAAUGGUAAAAUGAAAUUUAUGGAUUUUAUGGGAGUACAGUAAGAAAGAAGGGAGGUGCGGUAAGAAACAGCCCGGUGAUCACUUGUCCAAAGAGGCCCAAAGCAAAACGCAUGGGUACUCUUUGUUCACACGGUGGUGGUGGAACUGAAUGGAACAAGCAUGGCAAAAAUCACAGAACAAUCCGAAAUGGCGAAGCGGGGAACCUCUGAUUCCGAAUCCGACAACGCUUCGGUUUCAGGGUCAGAGUCCGAGGAGGGGCAUGCUAUGGACAGUGGGAAGAAGGGUGUGACGGAAUACGAGAAACAGAGGCUGUCGAGAAUCGCGGAGAACAGAGCCAGGUUGGAGGCUCUGGGCUUGCCCAAAAUGGCUCUCUCCUUGAAAAGUUCUCAUCUUCGCACCGCUAAGAAGGGAAAAGAGAAGAAGGUUGAAGAAGACGAUGAUGAAGAGUAUUUACCCGAAGACGAGGCAGGACCUGGUUCAAGUUCUUCAAGUGAACAUGAUGAAGAUCGUAAAGAUGAAGACUUUGCAACUAAAAAUUCCUCUGGGUUACGGAAAAGGAAGGUGAAGAACAAAGGUUUGAAAAAGAAAGACGGAGUCUCUGGGAAGAAGGAUGUUGGUAAUUCAGAGUACAUUGAUUAUGAUGAUGAUGAAGCUUUGAGGCAGGCAAUUGCUCUUUCCUUGCAAAACUCUGCCGAAGGUUCAUAUUUACCUGACCAGAAUGUAUUGAACCUUAACAAGACUGAGAAAAAGGGAAACAAUCAAACUCAAGAAGAAAAGGGAAGAAAGAAGAACAAAAAAUCGUUUGCAAGUCGGCUGCAACUCACGGAGGAUGAGCUCAUUGUACACUUCUUCCAGCUUGAUGGGAAGUUGUUUUGUGGCAUGCAGAAGCUGGAAAAGGAACUUUAAAUGUAAGGGAUAUACAAAGGGCAGCUACUGCUCAUGAUUUUUUAUGGACAGACAAAGAGUUAGUUGAUAUGAUCCACUUCUUCGAUAGUGAUGGAGAUGGAAAGCUAAGCCUGGAUGAUUUCCGGAAGAUUAUGGUUCGUUGCAACAUGAUCAAAGAGUGAUGAAAAUCUUGAUAGAACCGCGUGUUAGAAUUAGAGAUAUUACAUGGUGACUAGAUGCACAACCAUUGAGUCCUUGUGCUCUUUUUGGUACCUUUGAGGGAUCGGAGCAAUUUCUAUCACCAUAAGGACUGUCAAAUACAUGUUGUAGUAUUCCUUCUUGUAUCCCAUUAUCACUACUAUAUAAUUUCUGUUGUACUAUGUUGAUUUCCCCUUUUGUAUCCUUUACAACUUUCUUGAACUAAGUCUUAUUUUUGGUGUAAAAUCUACCUCAGCAGUCUCUAAGUUGAUUCCUUUUCAAUCUCCAAAGUGUUUUUCUUAUAACUAUUUUGUUUUGUUGUUUUUAUAUCUACUUUGGAGGAUGCUUGUUCCUUCAAUCUCCAUACAUGUGCCUACACAUAGCAUGUACUGGUAUUUUGUGUUUUUGUUUCUCAUUUUGUUUG